ensembl:processed_transcript
AUCACUUCACCAGCAGCUGAACAACUUUACUCUUCUGUUCAAUUAGAAAGAGAAGAAUCUGGAAAAUGAAUUUUCUUCUUCUUGCUCUAGCCUUUUUGGUUUCUGCUGCUGAGGAACCCUUACAGUUUUCAGGGAAAUUUCAUACUGUCUACCUAGCAAGUAAAUCUGUGGCUGCAAUAGCAGAAAAUAGUCCAGAGCGUAUGCUGAUGCGUGAGGUUCAGUUUUUUAAGGAACACAGUGUCAUGAGCAUGACGUUCUAUGUGAGCAACUGGGACAAAUAUCACUCAAGAAAUGUGAGAAGAAUAUGUGACCCUAACUAAGUUCGUCAAAAUUCCUACUAAAAUAUUGAAAAUGUAUAUGAAACAGAUGUGUGCCCUAAACAGGAGCCUUGAUCUCAGGAGGAGAAAAAUUGUAUUAGUCACUAUACUUACUUGAUUCCCUGGAAUUAAUUUUUGAUGUUGAUUCAAGCCUGUAAACAAAGGUAUUCACAAUUGUUAUUCAGGGAUUUCUGCACACCCUAUUGUUAAGGAAUAUCAUUACUGGCUUUAUGUAAGAUUAAUUGCAUUGAUUUCAACUUUGUAAAAGAGUUUUCAAUAAAGUACCCAAUGCACAUCAU